CAGUAAUGACAGCAGCAGCGGCAGUAGUAGCGGGUCAAAGAAGAGUGACAGCGCAGCCGGAAACGGAAACGGAACUGUUGGCGAAGCACGUGUGCAGCCGCUACGAGAUGCGGCUGCGGUGCGACGAUGGUGAGCUGGUGGCCAUCCACGACGCCAUGUACGCCAGCGAACCGCCGCCGGACGCGCCGCCGGCGAGACCCGGCUGCGGGCCGAUCUUCGAGACGACGCAAGACGGAGCCGCAGUCACAUCCACAUCCACAGCCCCAAGCCCGUGCGAGCAGGACCUCCGUCUGGCGAUCAACAGCAGGUGUUCAGGCGAGGUGCACUGCCUGUUCAGCCUGAGCCGGGACCAGGCCGAGCGGCGUUGCAGAGGCGAGGGCUCGCUGCUGGUGCGAUAUCGAUGCCUGAACGAGCGUUCGCUGAUGCAAAAGUGCGGUGCGCACGUUCGCUCCCCCACCGAGGGCUACCUCUCGUCUCCCGGCUUCCCGCACUUCUACCCUGCGCUGUCCAACUGCUCCUGGCUCCUGGAGGCCUCUCCGGGACAAACCAUCAUGCUCAGGAUACUCGACCUCUCCAUCAGGCCGCCCAGGCCGGGGGCUCCGGGUCCUUUGUUCGACUCCCUGAGCGAGUCCGACUGCGCCGAGGAUGCGCUGAGCGUGCUCGAGUCCGGCCGGCCUCUGCUCGUCGCCUGCGGGGAGUCGCGACUCAGCCUUCGAACUCUGCGCUCCACGGGGCGCCGACUGGUGGUCCGCUUUCGCACCAGGAGCUUCGUGCCGGCCAGGGGAUUCCUGCUCAAGUACAAGUUCAUGGGUUGUCCAACGCCGGCGGCGCCUCAAUUGGGGUACCUGGUGCACCGCGCCGAGGAGACGGCGCUGUACAAGUGCUGCAAGGACCACAUGUUCAACGACACGCAGGCGGACACCAGGACGCUGGUGUGCCUCCGUGGGAACACGUGGAACGACAGUGUACCGGAGACCUGCACGCCACGCCUACCCGUGCCGUGGAACGACACCGUCGUGGAGGAAGAAGAGGAGGAACCGCUUCUUCAGGGUCGCAAGGAGCGUGACGACGAUGACGAAGCUGGUUUCCUCUCCACGCAGUUUCUUGCAGAUGUCCUGGUGCCUUGCUUGGCCAUGGUGUUCCUGCUGCUGGGAAAUGCUGUCGUCGUUGUCAUCAUUUUCAAACUAAAAAGGAAGCGACGGCGGCGACUGGCCAGCGUCGUUCACCAACCGGACAUCGCCCUGCUCGUGCCACCGCAGCCGACCGAACCGCCGCCCUGGAAGCACGGCUGAUCGACGGAGCCAGCCGAGCCGCAGUCACUGCGACCACACACUGCGGAGUUCGGCACCCGGCAACAACACACGCGAGAUGCAACUCAAGCAGGCGCGAACGCGCCCUCGAGUACGAGCGUUAUCAAAAAUGGCGGGGUCUAGCAGGGCCGAAAUGCCAGCGCGAUUGACGGCUUCGUUGAAGAGGCAGUCAAAGUGAAAGCCUUUGAUGUCGAGGUCCUGAGGGUAGAAGGUCUACAAGGUGCUGACCCCCGAGAGCUACAUUCUUCGAGGAAGAUGCUUUAACUAGAUGAGACGCUGUAGAAGCGACCUCUGAAGGGACGGGCUUUCAAAGGGGCAAGGUCUUGAAGGGCAAGAGCUCUUUGCUUGGGUAGGAAACCUUCGAUCGAGGAAUAUGCUAGGAGCGAUUUCUUUCAAGGGCAAGUCUGGAGGCAGAUAUUCUCCGAAGGCAUGCCUAAUGAACCAAGUCCCUCUGGAGGCGCAUCCUUUAGGGUGUCUGCAAGAAGCAAUUCCUUGAAGGAAUGUGUCCUUCGAAGACGCGCUUUCGGAGACAAGUCGAGGUAUACGUUCACUGAAGGCUUGCCUUAAGAAGCACGUCUCUGUAGAGCCAUAUUCUCUAAAAGUGUCCGCGAGAAGCAAUUCCUGGAAGGUAUGCGUCCAGCAAGGACAAUUCUGCGGAGACAAAUUGUUGGAGGUCCACAACCCUCGAGGACAAGCAUUGGGAGGCAGGGCUUAUAUUCUACUAUGUCCACAAGAAGCAACUCCUGCAAAGAUUACGCCUUCAUGAACAAGCAUUUGGGGACAAGUCGUUAAGCAAACGUCCUCAAUGGGCAGGCGUACGCAAGCUGUAAUGAGCAAAGCCAUGUCAUCUAAUGAAUCUGCAAGGAGCGAAUCCUUGUAGGUAUACUUCCUUCAAGAACAAGCCUUUGGAGACAAAUUGUUUGAGGGACACCUCCUCUAAAGGCAAGAUAUAGGAAGCAAUCCUUUGUAGAGGCAUGUCUUGCGCUAAUUGUUCUGAACGACCGUACGGAAUCCCGCAUUUGAAGCGAAAUGUCGUAGAGGUCAGAAAGUGUGGGGUCGGCCAUGGAAGUAAGCCUUCGAGAUUCGUGUCCUCACUGUUUCCUCCAUUCUCGGAGGCUAUACACUCGCAGAUGUCGCGCGUCGCGGGGCAGGCCAUCCACUGCCCACAGUUAUAUACCACUGCCGUGUCUUGAUCGCCACAAGCGGCGCUGCUGACAAACUGGUGCUCACAGCCACUGUCAAAAAAGCGCGAAUCAAAUCUUAUACGCUUUCAGAACGGAAAGGGAAGCACAUCCGAACAAAAGCUACACAGUCAACAGUCAAACCGGUGGUGUCUGGUCCGAAAUCAGCGCUGUGUGAUUACCUUCGGCGAAGUACCACGUUUCGAAUCAGGUUACAAGCAGCUAAACGCUUCGCACACACAUAAUGACCGCUAUUUCGUUAGUUGCUCUAUUUUUUUGUCGCUACGGUGGAUGGGUGACGAAGACGCUAACUAUUCGCGGCAGCAAUGUUCCACAAAGCACGAAAUGACAAUCUUUUUCGAUACUCUCUUAAUGUAAGCCGACGACGAUGAUCAGCUGGAUAUAUAUUGUUGAAUUUCUACACUCCAAGAACAGUGUUGCGGAAACUCCUUUUUCGAGAUUAACCCUUUUUCUCGUACUUUAAACUAUUCGUGAAAGUUAUUCUUCUCUAAAGAGAGAGAGACAGAAAGAAAGAAAAAAAGAAAAGUAGUUUAACGAAAGCUGUGAAUAUCAGUCGUAUUAUAUGAGGGCUUACUAUGUACUACAUAGAUGUAAUUGAAAUUAGAUGAAAAGAAAACAGUAAAAUUAAUAAUAAUAUUGGCAAGAAAAUGGCACUAUCAAGCUCGCAUGGCGAAAGUUAGAACCAUUUCGAUAGGUACUCACUAGUGUAAUAAGUAGAUAAUGAGGGACUUAAGAAAAUCACUAGUGUGCAAUUGUGCUCGUAACGCAUUUGACCAAUCUGCCUAUUGCAACGCAGAGCACAUUGACUAUUUCUGAAGUAGUAAGGCUCGCUAUAUUGUGUUUAAGGAUAUAAAAUACUGAAAUGAUAGAAGUUUCCAAAAACACCAUUUUUUCAGCUUGGAAUGUAAGAACAGUAAUCAGUAGCAGCGAUGCAUUUAACGUUGCGCAUCUCUUUACGAUAGCUUUAGAUAUUUUACUCUGUCCAAACAUUUCCCGAAUCCUCUAGCGUAUCCCGGUAGGCUGUGCCGGAAUACCGCAAUAAUUCCUCCGCGUGAAUAUAUUAAUUUCUUAUCAUACACUGCUCAUCUAUGAUUGGCUGAUCAUGGCUAUGAGGUAGGCGGUGCGCCGCUUCUAACACCGACGAAGUGACCAAAGGAAUUGCAAGCAAAAUCUUUACUCCAUAUGGCCCCGGUAUAGUUUGUCAUUGUGUUGAGGACUAACAUGCAAUGGAACGCUAGCCAACGAAUGCGGACUCUACUGCGUUCCGCCAUAGAGCAAGAAAAACUUAGGAAGGAGCAUUACGUCACGCAGCCAGCCUAGGCAAGCGAACGCUCAAUUAAGCCAGCAGUGUUGGCCGAACACGUGACUUUUUGCGUCCGCAUCACCCAAGAAAGGAGUUUUGCCGAGAGUCAGGGGUUCGGCGCCCGGUAGCUUUUAAUCGAAGUCCUCUUGUUCGGUCGGCUCAAGGAGUAGUUCCAAACAAAAGAAAACCGGAAGUACUGAAACCUACCGCGCGCUCCGACGUUUCGAUCAUGCGUUGGGCCGACACAGUAGGCUUCAAUCGCGUUGCGCAUUGCUUCCUCCUGUUUCCUUCCUUCACGUGUUCCGCCAUAGUUACGUUUUAAGCCAAUCAGAGAGAGCGCAGACACCCGGUGAGCCAAUCAGAACGGACAUGGCGAUGUCUGACAGUAAUGGUGAGAAAUCGCAGCAUUCAGCACAGCCACGCCUGACCACUUAUUCGCCCGCUUUUCCCGCAUCGCCUAUCGUCCAAAUGCCCGCAUUUGUUUCUUCAGAGAUACAGAAAGCGAAUGCACAUAUAUAUGCAAGGUCAUUCCAGAGAACACUUCACCGGUACUUCACGCAACCUCUAGUCGAUUUGUUCCAGCUCUCUAUAUAUAGAUACAUAUAUUUCAAUACACACGUGGAGAUCCGUUUAUUUUAUUCCAUCUAUGACACAUAGUGACGAAGGGUAUGCAAAUGGAAACGUAUUAAUAUAUGGGUAAUACAAGUGUUACGUAGAGCCGUAGGUUGGCGUUGUGAGGGAGCGUUGCCAAGAUCACUG